AAGAGACUGUCUUUUGCCCCUUUUAUGUUCUUGCCUCCUUUGUGGAAGAUUAAGGGGCCAUAGGUGUGCGCGUUUAUUUCUGGGCUGUUGUUUAAAGAUACAGCAAGACAGCAUUAGAAGUGAAGGAGCUCAGUGUGUGUGUGGGGGGGACAGAACCACAUCCCCAAAGACGUCCACAUCCUGAUCCCUGUGUGGGGGACAGAGCCCUGUCCCCAAGGACGUCCACACCCUGACCCCCAGACCUUGCGACUCUGUGACGUCCCACGGCAGAGGGGACUUGGCAGCUGUGGCCACGUGAAGGACCUUGGCUGGGGAGAUGGCCGGGAUUUUCCAGGUGGUCCAGCGUCAUCACAGAGGUUCCCAUAAGAGGCAGAGGACCAUUUGAUCGCGAGAUGCUGGGCUUUAGGCUCUGGGGAUGGAGGAGGGACCGCACGCUCAGGACUGCUGCCGCCUCCAGAAGCUGGGCGAGGCCGCAGACAGAUUCUCCGCUGGAGCUGCUCCAGGAGGAACCAGCUCUGCAGGCAGCCUGACUUGAGAGCUUUGGCCUUUAAAACACUAAGACAGCACAUCUUCCUCCUUUGAAGCUGCCCGGUCCAUGGUACUUCUUUAGAGGGACCACGAGAGGCUGCGGGAUCCAGGGCUGCGAGGGAGCGGACACUGCAGGGAAGGUAACUCCUUGGGAAGCUCUGAUGACCGGACAGAUGAGCAGAAGCCGAAAGCUCAGGGAGAAAGAUCUACUUUUCCACGAACUGACUUUCACGAGCGUCCCUAGGAGCCUGCGAACUCUGUGAGGGCAGGACUUAAGGCUCUUUGGGUCCCCUUCCAAAGGGGAGCAUGCCCAACCGGUCUACCUGGCUGGAGCCCCAUGAGAAGCUGCCUGCUGGGGGCGCUGCAGUGUCAGAGGUCAGGUUGCACCCCCACCUCCCCCUGCCCCAACAUCCAGCACCCCGGUCCUGGAACACGUGUGUGGACUCAGAUGCCCCGAGGCUGAAUCUGCAGGAACAGAGUUUGGAGCUGGCUAGCAGGGACCAUCUGAGUCCGAAGGUUCUGGAACCCACCUGCCUGCCCUCCAGAGCAGCCCAAAGCUGAACUGCUUCCUGCUGCUCUGCAGAGCAGGGGUUUGCCUUCAUCUCCGUAGGUACAGACGAUGCUGGCAGCUCCCCUUCUCCUCAUCCCCCUGGACAUCCUCUGUGGUCACCUGCAGGUCUCCUCCAGCCAGCCGGCUGGCUCGCAGUAAGAACCGCCAGGGCACUUGUGAACGUCCAGGCAGUGGCCUCGCCUUGCCAGGGGACUUCAGAUGCCAGCCUCCAGCAGGAGGAGGGAUAAAUGCCUCUUGUUGAAGCCGCCCCGUCUGGGGUAUCUGCUUUUGGCAGCUGAGCGGACUCAUACUGGUCUAGACUCACAGUCUGUAACCUCUGGGAGGAGGUCCAGGAAUGGAACCAUCCGAGAUGGAUUCUCUAAUAUUUUCUGGGAGGAAUCAAGGGACUCCAAUGCUGGAAGCAAGGCCCCUGGAGGACCUCAGGGUGGUGCUGACAGCCCUUUGUUACUCAGGGACUCACCGGUGUCCGCCCAAGCAGUUCCCCCUUUCCGUCGGCCUCAGGGAACUGCUCAGGAGAUCUUCUCAUGAGAGGAAUCCCGGCUGCUCCACAGACAGGUGCCAGCGUUCAGACCCUGAGGCUGCCUCCGGCUCCACAAGUGGGGAUGUGCCCAGGCAGGUCUCAGGACGGAGCCUCGAGAAGCAGGAAAGGCCGUGUGGAUGGAGCCCCUGGGGACGGAGAGGAGGAGGAAGGUGAGUGUCCAUGUGAGCAGCUCCCGUCUCUCUCCAUACUUCAUACCAUCCCACGCAGGAGUCCUCAUAGCAUCCAUUUCACACAAACGGUAUUGAUGAUGUCUGAUGUUCAUGCUCCCCCUUGGAGGGGACUGGGUGGAGCAGAGGUGUCAUCUGCUUCACCGUACAGGACAGCGUCCAGCCUUCACGCCGGGACGUCCUCCAGGGACGCUGUCUGGAGUCACAGGCUUCAGGAAGGUAGGUGCUUCGUCUGUAACGUCUUUAGCCUGAAAGGAAGCAGCCUUUAAGGAAAUCUGGAAUCUAAACAUGAGCCUUUGCACAGAAGAGAAAGAAACUUGUGGACUUGGAGAACAGACUUGUGGUUGCA